rnacentral:ncRNA from 1 species
AUAUCGGCAAUGAAGAGGAAGAGUAUGUUGGGAUGCCAUACCAGAGAGCGGGCCGGAGGUGGAAGGCUUGCAUGGAUGUACCGAUAGAAGGUAGCCUCUGAGCUGUUUGCCUGAACGAGGAAGUAGGGCAGACCGGGACGCACCCGUUAUCAUGAUACAAGUGAGCCUGUUGUUACGACGUUAUGCGCGCUUUAACAAGGCUAACAAAGGUGGUACCGCGAAUAUACUCCUUCGUCCUUUGA